CGAGGAAUAUUGCACAAUGGGCGCAAGCCUGAUGCAGUAACGCCGCGUGGGGGACGAAGACCUUCGGGUUGUAAACCUCUUUUCAGAAUGACGAGUGAGGACGGUAAUUUUGGAAUCAGUCUCGGCUAACUACGUGCCAGCAGCCGCGGUAAGACGUAGGAGGCGAGCGUUAUCCGGAUUCACUGGGCGUAAAGCGCAUGUAGGCGGCUGGACAAGUCCCGGAUGAAAGCCCCCGGCUCAACCGGGGGAGGUUUCGGGAGACUGUGCGGCUAGAGGGCAGCAGAGGUCGGUGGAACUCCCGGUGUAGCGGUGGAAUGCGUAGAGAUCGGGAAGAACACCAGUGGCGAAGGCGACCGACUGGGCUGCGACUGACGCUGAGAUGCGAAAGUGUGGGGAGCAAACGGGAUUAGAUACCCCCGUAGUCC
rnacentral:rRNA from 1 species